rnacentral:rRNA from 1 species
CCCUUAGAUGUUCUGGGCAGCACGCGCGCUACAAUGGUCUUCGCAAACGGAUGCAUUCUCGAAGGAGAAUGCCAAUCUUGGAAUCUAUGCCUUGGUCGGGACAGUUGCUUGCAAUUUUUCGACUCGAACCAGGAAUUCCUUGUAAUCGUGAUUCAUCACAUCACGAUGAAUACGUCCCUGCCCUUUGUACACACCGCCCGUCGCUCCUACCGAUCGAAGAGUUAGGUGAAUUGUUUUGAUCGAUAAGAUUUGACUAUGGUCAACUCUCGUUGUGAAAUUCUGUGAAUCUGACUGUUUAGAGGAAGGAAAAGUCGUAACG